rnacentral:rRNA from 1 species
AGACGGAGGGUGCAAACGUUGUUCGGAAUUACUGGGCAUAAAGCGCACGUAGGCGGCUCAGCCAGUCCGGUGUGAAAGCCCCCGGCUCAACCGGGGAACUGCAUCGGAUACUGCUGAGCUAGAGGAUGGUUGGGGUGAGUGGAACUCCUGGUGGAGCGGUGAAAUGCGUAGAUAUCAGGAGGAACACCAGUGGCGAAAGCGGCUCACUGGACCAUUUCUGACGCUGAGGUGCGAAAGCGUGGGUAGCGAACAGGAUUAGAAACCCCGGUAGUCC